rnacentral:lncRNA from 1 species
UCCCUGCUCCACCACCAUCAACCCAAAAUCCUGCACCAACUGGUUGGAAUAGAACUGGGCCAAGGCAGCAAUAGUAGGGUCAUGCCACUGCUGCUGAUUCGUGUUUGCUAUCCCAGCACUACUGAACUGGACUGCUGGUAUAUCGUGGUGUAGCUGCAAGUGGAUUGAGCUGCUGCUGCUGCUGACCUGUGAACUGAACGGCUGAUUUCCUGACAAUGCAGAUUGGAUUUGCUCCAAAGAACAAUUUCUAAACAGGUCUAUUUCCCCUGUCUCCCAAUAACCUUUCUUUUCUACUACCUCUGGUGGGUGUUGGGUUAGAAGGAAGGUCAAAGCAUUUAAGAACAAUUAUUAAAAUUAGGGCUGGGAAAAAUGUAAGCAUAUACACAAUGCACUGUGGCAUAUAUGGUCAUGUGACACACAUAUACAUGUAAUAAUCAUGUGACACACAUAUACAUGUAAUAAGUGAAUAUGUUUUUUUUAAUUAAAACAGUCAACUUUAAGUU